UACGAAGGGGACUAGCGUUGUUCGGAAUCACUGGGCGUAAAGCGCACGUAGGCGGAUGUGUCAGUCAGGGGUGAAAUCCCGGGGCUCAACCUCGGAACUGCCUUUGAUACAGCACGUCUCGAGUCCGGAAGAGGUGGGUGGAACUCCGAGUGUAGAGGUGAAAUUCGUAGAUAUUCGGAAGAACACCAGUGGCGAAGGCGGCUCACUGGUCCGGUACUGACGCUGAGGUGCGAAAGCGUGGGGAGCAAACAGG
rnacentral:rRNA from 1 species